UUCUUGGUCAUUUAGAGGAAGUAAAAGUCGUAACACGGUUUCCGUAGGUGAACCUGCGGAAGGAUCAUUAAAGAAAUUUAAUAAUUUUGAAAAUGGAUUUUUUUUUUUUUGUUUUGGCAAGAGCAUGAGAGCUUUUACUGGGCAAGAAGACAAGAGAUGGAGAGUCCAGCCGGGCCUGCGCUUAAGUGCGCGGUCUUGCUAGGCUUGUAAGUUUCUUUCUUGCUAUUCCAAACGGUGAGAGAUUUCUGUGCUUUUGUUAUAGGACAAUUAAAACCGUUUCAAUACAACACACUGUGGAGUUUUCAUAUCUUUGCAACUUUUUCUUUGGGCAUUCGAGCAAUCGGGGCCCAGAGGUUAACAAACACAAACAAUUUUAUCUAUUCAUUAAAUUUUUGUCAAAAACAAGAAUUUUCGUAACUGGAAAUUUUAAAAUAUUAAAAACUUUCAACAACGGAUCUCUUGGUUCUCGCAUCGAUGAAGAACGCAGCGAAAUGCGAUACGUAAUGUGAAUUGCAGAAUUCCGUGAAUCAUCGAAUCUUUGAACGCACAUUGCGCCCCUUGGUAUUCCAGGGGGCAUGCCUGUUUGAGCGUCAUUUCCUUCUCAAACAUUCUGUUUGGUAGUGAGUGAUACUCUUUGGAGUUAACUUGAAAUUGCUGGCCUUUUCAUUGGAUGUUUUUUUUUCCAAAGAGAGGUUUCUCUGCGUGCUUGAGGUAUAAUGCAAGUACGGUCGUUUUAGGUUUUACCAACUGCGGCUAAUCUUUUUUAUACUGAGCGUAUUGGAACGUUAUCGAUAAGAAGAGAGCGUCUAGGCGAACAAUGUUCUUAAAGUUUGACCUCAAAUCUGGUAGGAGUACCCGCUGAACUUAAGCAUAUCAAUAAGCGGAGGAA
rnacentral:rRNA from 1 species